AUGCCCAUCCAAGAAAAAGAACACAGUACCAGGCUUCUCCCACAUUCCCCACAGUCCACAGCCAUGGCCUCCCAGUCCCAACAGCCACCCUCGCCGCCGCCGCCGCCCGAGCCGACCAGCAUUAGCUCUUUGACCGACGACCUCCUCCGUGAGAUCUUCCUCCGCCUACCGGACCUCCCGACCCUUGUCCGCGCGGCCAUCACCUGCCGCCCCUUCCUCUGCCUGGUCCGCUCCUCCCCGGCCUUCCGCCGCCGCUUCCGCGAGCUCCACGCGCCGCCUAUCCUCGCCCUCUUUCUCACACCCUACAUGCGCGCCGUCAUCCCUUCCGCCAGCGGCAGCCCCGACCCGGACACCACUGCCGCCUUCGCCGAUUUACUCGGAGACGACGACGCCACCGAGUGGGGGACAGAUUCCCAAAUUCCCUACUCCGACGGGUACGUCGCCUUCGUCAACCGGAGCACCGAUCAGACUGCCUCCUACAGCCCACUGAAUAUUGGAGCACCGGCGCAGGCGCAGGCCCUGGAUAUCUACCCCAAGCCGCCCCGCGAAGGCGUCGACGCCUGGCUCGAGUUCUACACGCUCCCUCCUGACCAAGAGGGCCAGAGGCCAUCCCGUGUGGUCUGUGUCCGUCACGAUAGCUCAUGGGCGUGCGCGCGUGUGGCCGUCUUCUCAUCUCACGCCAUGAAGUGUCAGAUCUUCCCCGAGUCCAGGGGGUUGCUGCUUGAGCGCGACAGGUGCACGAUUCGGAAGCUUGUCCAUGGGUUCGUCUGCUGGUUACAGAGUGAAAACUGCAUUCUCGCUCUCAACACUGUCACCUUUCAGUUCUCUCGAAUGUAUCUGCCACCGCCCUUGAGAGGGCCAUACACAUACUUAAGCUUUGAGCUUGGUCAGACCAAGGAUGGGAAGCUCUGUAUCGUACAUCUGCAGGAAUUCACGCUUUCUGUUUGGCUCUGGACACCCGACGAUGACGGCGUCGAGAGAUUUAUGCUGCACAAGAUGUUUCAAUUGCACACAAUUGUUAAGGAGAUCACUAAGCGUUCAGUCCUGGACAAUGUUGACGCUGGAGAGCAUAUGAACGUUACUGAUGGGUUUGUGUACCUGUCUGUUGUCCAUGGCAGGGGUAUGCAAUCUUCUCAGUGGUUCCUAUCCUUUUGCCUGGAAACAGCAGAGGUGAAGUUGCUCUUUGAGAAAACAUGCCGAAUUCGCUGUCUUGUUGAUCCAUACAUCAUGGCCUGGCCUCCUUCUUUGAUGCACGACAAGGGGGAUUCAGAAACUGAAGUUGCUGGGGACACUGUUGGAGAUGACGGUCCAGUGGGCACGGAAGAAGUUUCCCCUGUCCUCUUCACGGCAUUGCAGUCAUUCAAAGAAGCUUUGAUUGAUGAUGACAACGCAAAAUUGGUGGAGAUGGAUGCCUUCUUAGUUGAUGAUGAGAUUAGCUCCCUUUUGAACAAAAUCUCUACUUUAGAAGCAGGAUUAGCAGCUGGGAGAGACUGUGUGCUGAGAAGAGCUCAUUCCAAUAUCUACGUGGAAGGGGUGGAAAGGAGGAGUUGGUGGGAAAUGUGCAAGGGGAUGCUGGGGAGAGUUUCUUCCCACUUCUUUGCCAAUUGA
rnacentral:rRNA from 1 species